CAUAAUAAAAUAUGAAGGCUGUACGCGGCUGUGCUCUCGGGCCAGUUUUGCGGAGGCUGAAUUAUUUAUUACCCUUGUCUUUUGCGCACUUGUUGUUUCCUGGGCGGGUUCGCCCGCCACCAGGACCACAUCAUAAACCUUUUUUAUGCAGUUGCAAUCAGCGUCAGUAUAACAAAUGUAAAUCAUUA
rnacentral:misc_RNA from 1 species